UGCUUAACACAUGCAAGUCGAACGGUGAAGCCCAGCUUGCUGGGUGGAUCAGUGGCGAACGGGUGAGUAACACGUGAGCAAUCUGCCCCUGACUCUGGGAUAAGCGCUGGAAACGGCGUCUAAUACUGGAUAUGAACCGUGGAGGCAUCUUCAACGGUUGGAAAGAUUUUUUGGUCAGGGAUGAGCUCGCGGCCUAUCAGCUUGUUGGUGAGGUAAUGGCUCACCAAGGCGUCGACGGGUAGCCGGCCUGAGAGGGUGACCGGCCACACUGGGACUGAGACACGGCCCAGACUCCUACGGGAGGCAGCAGUGGGGAAUAUUGCACAAUGGGCGCAAGCCUGAUGCAGCAACGCCGCGUGAGGGAUGACGGCCUUCGGGUUGUAAACCUCUUUUAGCAGGGAAGAAGCGAAAGUGACGGUACCUGCAGAAAAAGCGCCGGCUAACUACGUGCCAGCAGCCGCGGUAAUACGUAGGGCGCAAGCGUUAUCCGGAAUUAUUGGGCGUAAAGAGCUCGUAGGCGGUUUGUCGCGUCUGCUGUGAAAUCCCGAGGCUCAACCUCGGGUCUGCAGUGGGUACGGGCAGACUAGAGUGCGGUAGGGGAAAUUGGAAUUCCUGGUGUAGCGGUGGAAUGCGCAGAUAUCAGGAGGAACACCGGUGGCGAAGGCAGAUCUCUGGGCCGUAACUGACGCUGAGGAGCGAAAGGGUGGGGAGCAAACAGGCUUAGAUACCCUGGUAAUCCACCCCGUAAACGUUGGGAACUAGUUGUGGGGUCCAUUCCACGGAUUCCGUGACGCAACUACCG
rnacentral:rRNA from 1 species